rnacentral:rRNA from 1 species
GAUGAACGCUGGCGGCGUGCCUAAUACAUGCAAGUCGAGCGAACGGACGAGAAGCUUGCUUCUCUGAUGUUAGCGGCGGACGGGUGAGUAACACGUGGAUAACCUACCUAUAAGACUGGGAUAACUUCGGAAAACCGGAGCUAAUACCGGAUAAUAUUUUGAACCGCAUGGUUCAAAAGUGAAAGACGGUCUUGCUUUCACUUAUAGAUGGAUCCGCGCUGCAUUAGCUAGUUGGUAAGGUAACGGCUUACCAAGGCAACGAUGCAUAGCCGACCUGAGAGGGUGAUCGGCCACACUGGAACUGAGACACGGUCCAGACUCCUACGGGAGGCAGCAGUCGGGAAUCUUCCGCAAUGGGCGAAAGCCUGACGGAGCAACGCCGCGUGAGUGAUGAAGGACUUCGGAUCGUAAAACUCUGUUAUUAGGGAAGAACAUAUGUGUAAGUAACUGUGCACAUCUUGACGGUACCUAAUCAGAAAGCCACGGCUAACUACGUG